rnacentral:rRNA from 1 species
GAUGAACGCUAGCGGCAGGCCUAACACAUGCAAGUCGAGGGGUAGAGGCUUUCGGGCCUUGAGACCGGCGCACGGGUGCGUAACGCGUAUGCAAUCUGCCUUGUACUGAGGGAUAGCCCAGAGAAAUUUGGAUUAACACCUCAUAGUAUUUUAGUGUGUCAUCACAUUAUUAUUAAAGGUUACGGUACAAGAUGAGUAUUCGUCCCAUUUGCUAGUUGGUAUGGUAACGGCAUACCAAGGCUACGAUGGGUAGGGGUCCUGAGAGGCAGAUCCCCGACACUCGUACUGUGCCACGGACCAGAUUCCUACGGGAGGCAGCAUUGAUGAAUAUUGGUCAAUGGUCUCAAGCCUGAACCAGCCAUGCCGCGUGCAGGAUGAAGCAUCUAUGGUGUGUAAACUGCUUUUGUACGGGAAGAAACACCGCUACGUGUAGCGGCUUGACGGUACCGUAAGAAUAAGGAUCGGCUAACUCCGUGCCAGCAGCCGCCGUAAGAC